GGGAUGAGGCCUUCGGGUUGUAAACCUCUUUUCUUGGGGAAGAAUUCUGACGGUACCCGAGGAAUAAGCCUCGGCCAACUACGUGCCAGCAGCCGCGGUAAUACGUAGGAGGCGAACGUUAUUCGGAUUUACUGGGCGUAAAGGGAGCGUAGGCGGUUCCUUAAGUCAGAUGUGAAAUCUUCUGACUCAAUCAGAAGGGGCCAUUUGAUACUGAGGGACUUGAGAGCAGCAGAGGGAAAUGGAAUCCCCAGUGUAGCGGUGAAAUGCGUAGAUAUUGGAGAGAACACCAGUGGCGAAGGCGAUUUCCCAGGCUGUUUCUGACGCUGAGGCUCGAAAGCGUGGGGAGCGAAGCGGAUUAGAUACCCGCGUAGUCCACGCCCUAAACGGUGGACACUAGAUAUAGGGGGUGGCGACCCUUUCUGUGUCGAAGCUAACGCUUUAAG
rnacentral:rRNA from 1 species